rnacentral:tRNA from 1 species
GGGGAUGUAGCUCAGUGGGUAGAGUGCUUGCCUUGCAUGCACAAGGCCCUGGGUUCAAUCCUCAGCACCA